UGUUCAUUACAAAAUUUUUAUAUUAUUUUUUUUUUUUAUUUUUUAAAUUUUUUUACCAUUAUUUUAUUUAAAAUUUUUUUUUUUUAAUUUUGUGAUUUUUAUGCACAUAAAAUUAAAUAAUUGUUUUUAAUUACUAUAAAAUCCAUGCUACUAAUAAUAUUCAUUGAAAAAAUUAAAAAAAAAAAAUAAAAAGAAAAAAACGUAUUGAAAAAAAACGGAAUGUCAUCUAAUAAUGUUGAAGCUGCAACAAAUUAACGUAAAAACUAAAGAGCGAAACAGAUUUAAAGACGACAAAAGAGAGCAAUGGAAACGAAAUUGAAUACUGUGCUCCUUCUUUGUACAAAUUUAUUUUAGUUACCACUAACUAAAAUACCAUGAUAGUUAACUACCAUUGCUAAGUAGAGGCAGAAUGACUGAGAACAAGAUAUCGGGAAAUCGAGAAAUACAAGAUGCGUAGCAACUUUGACACUAUGGUCUGGAAAUUAAAUGGUAUCUUUACUAAAUUGUCAUAUAAAACCUCCAUUUAUGCAGUCCAGGUGAAUGCCAGACCAGUUCUAAUUAUGAUUUUCUUCAGAAGCCACCUCUAUGUGUGACGUAUCCUAAGUGUAAAAAUAAUCAGAUUAGAAACCUUCACAGAAGAGGACAAAGAUGGAACUUACGAAAUUUUGUCCAGAGACUUCGGUAAACGAGAAUGAGCUGUUAAAACUAUGAGCAAACAAAAGAGAUUAAAUUCAAAUCGAUGGUUUUUAUAAAAAAAAAAAUCAGAAGGAAGUAAGAAGUAAUUGAAUAAUAAAAUUAACGAGCUUGGGAAGAAUAUGUGUGCUCUAUAAACACAUUUUUUAAUUUUCAGCUGCACUAUUCUAAGGAGCUGAAGUAAUCGCAAGUAUUUCUUUAUUUAUUAAUGUGGAAUUUUAUAUAUAAAAGAACAAGAACCGAAUAUUAUUCGAACUUUUCUUGUAGAACGGCUUUUUAAAAAGGCAUCUGAAACUUUACAAUAAAAAAUAUUUUUUGAGUAUAAUUGGAAAAAUUCCAAGACGGAUUCCAGAAAUAUUAAACAUUGUGGGAUUAAGAAAUACGUUCUCAUUUGUUCUCGUUUAUUUGUUCUUCUCUGUAGAUCGGUAUUGUUCGCAAAACUGUAGCAUGAGCAGCAAUUAAUAUUAGUGGUAUUUGCUUGCCACGCAAGAAUGGCUAAAUAGCAGUAGUUCACGAACAUGAAUUUUUUAUAAUACCAACAACCAAAACCAAAGUUAGUUCUUAAUAAUUGUUAUAUUUUGUCCAACAGUGGCUGUAAUGCUUUGUUGUAAAGCUUUGGUCUAUUUAAAAAGUAAUUUUCAAACCAUGACUUGCACUUUAAUAUAUAGAACCCUUGCUUUACCUGUAUGUGUGUAGUCUUUCAAAACAAGCAUUAUUAUUCCUUUACAUAGUUUUUUUUGUGUUUCCUUUCUUUUAUGUAAUUUUCAAAUAAGAUUUCAUCUUUUAGAUAUUUUGAUUACAUUUGAUUAUUCAUUCUUAUUACUAUUGUCAUUAUUGGUGAAUACCAGAAGCUGAAAAUUAAAUUCAUUUGAAGAAAAAAACAAGGCAAUAUAGGUACUGAA